CUCCUCUCUCUCUCUCUUUUAAAAAAAUCAGCCAUUUGGGGUUUUAAGCCAUAAACGAUUUUUCUUGUUGCAGGGGAUUGCAGUGGCAAAGCUAGGCUAGGUCUUGGAGGCUGGUGUAAGGCGAAGCGGGUGAAGGCAGGAGGCUGAUGGAGAGACUGGGGGGAAGAAAAGCCGAAAUGGAUUCACUGUGCCUUGGAUGGAGGACGAGAGGGGAAUUGCAAGCUCCUUCAGCUCGUUCUGUCCGGUGAGAAGUGAUCAAGCUUGGGCUGACAAGAGGCUCAGGGAGCCCUCACGUUCUUUCGCUUUUUUACCUGCCAAUCAAACUGCUACAAGACAACACCCUGAUCUGGCAUGGACAUCGCGGGUCCAAGCCUGUAGCCCCAAAUCGGAUAAUCUGUGCAGCUGAUAACAAGCAAAAGAGAAGCCAGGCAACAGCCAUAUUAAAGAAGAAAACAAUCAACUCUGAGGUUGUUAAUCUGUCUGAGAGGCGACCAGAGAGACACUCUACUUGCUAUUGGUUAAAUAUAUGCUUCCGAAAUGGUACCCGUGCUCAGACAUCAAACUCACUGUUAGGAAUGAUAUCUUACGUAAAUCAUAAUUUCUCAACUAAAUAAGAUUAUUUCUUAAAAGCAACUUAAAUUUGUUUAAUGCCCUAUAGCUUACAAAGCAUGUUUCAGUUCAUAAUUUUGUUUGAUCCUUAGAAUAAUGUCAUGAAAUAGAUAAAUAUCAUUAAUCCCAUUUUACCAAGGAGGCAGCUGAAUCAUUUGACACCGUAAUUCUGCUAAUAAAUAGAACUGUGACACCAACUCAGAUUUUAUAAAUUCUAUUUCAAGUGAUUUAGCUAUAGCAAUAGACUUUUUACUUAUUUUUGUGUUCUAUGUCCCUGAAAAUCAAGAUUUUGUAUUAAAGAGCAAAGUUUUUACAAAUGGAUAAAAAAGUUAAAAUACCCGAUUUAAAAAUUCUAUUCACUUAGAUUUUGCUAAUUAUUGUUUUCCUUUGUGUGUGUGUAUCUAUCUGUCUAUCCAUCUAUCUGUCAAUGGUCUUUCAGAGUUGAAGGUCUUAAUUUCUAAAAGUCAAACAUGGGCAGCCCUAUAUAAAUUACAUAACUAACUAGAAUUUUUUUAAUGUGUAUGAAAACCCAUAGAUUACAUAUUUCAAAAUAAAAUAUAAUAAUCCUCUUUUAGAAACAGGUUCUGCAUAUUAAGUGAUUAUUUGAGAGCCUGCUGUUGAUUAAGUUCUACUAUAGGUGAGAUUUACCUUCUAGUGUUUUUUUUUUAAGCUCUAUGAGAUUGACAAAUGAAAUUGUAAGAUAUUUAAAAUGUACAUUGUGAUGAUUUGAUUCAAGCACACAUUGUGAAAGGAUUCCUUCCAUCUAGUUAAUUAACACAUCCAUCACUUUAUGUAUUUAUCUUCUUUUUUUUUUUUUGAGGAAAACACUUACGUUCUACUCUCUUAACAAAUUUCAGUUAUUCAAUACGGUGUUAUCAGCUAUAGUCACCAUAUUGUACAUUAAACUCUCAGACCUUAUUUAUCUUAUAGCUGAAAGUUUGCACUCUUUUAGCAACCUCUCCCUAAUUCCCUUAUUCUCCAGGGCUGCCCUCCUAGUGUUAAUAGACUGGUAUCUUUUGACAUCUUAGCAAGUCUGGAUAAACAAAGCUGUGUAGGACUACUUUUUGUUUCUCUUCACUUUUUGUUCUCCAUGUUAAAAAAAGUUUACAAAAUACUCUAGAAACAAUAAAUAAAAUGUUUAGUUAACCUGAUAUUGAUGUAACCUACCUAAACAUACAGAAAUCAAGAAAUGCAAAAGGAUAACACCAUGCGAUUCUAAUUAGGUUUUUAAUCAUAUUGUUUUAAUCAUAUAAUGUAGGUGUGUGUAUGUUAAUAUAAAAUUAUUAUUUUAUUUCUUAAAUUGUGUACACUUAAAUUAGUCACUUUAUGUAUACUCAAAUUAAGGCUUUUGCCCCUGAGCUAUGCUUGCAGCCAAACAAAUCUAGUCAAGCUUUUUAGGAUUAGAAAAAAAUGAAAAAGUGUCCAUAAAAGGAAAAGCAACUGUUCGGGUUGAAUGCUGCAUAUACUAUAUCAAUAAUAACACUCAUUAUAACCUUCCUUGUGCCGAGGGUUUUCUAUUAAAAUGUAACGUUAGACUGAGGAGUGUAUCAUUUUGAUUUGGAAAUGCUCAAGCCCCCAAGUUCAAACUUCUAGAGUCUUCUCUUCUGUUUGCAAAUUAAGAAAUGGAAAAAUAGACUCUCAUGUUAACAUUGAUAUGUUCAUUAGAUGCUCUUUGAAAUUUUUAAGUUUUAUAUAUUACCAAUCUCAUUCAUUUUGCUUAUGUAUGUCUCUAACAGCUGCCACUGUCCAAAACAGUUUUUCCUCCCUUUCUUCCUUCCCCACUUCCUCCUUUUCCUCCUUCCUUUCCUUCUUUCUUUCUUCUUGUCUUCUCUCCCCUGCCUCUUUCCCUCCUUUCUUCUCUCUUUUCCUCCCUCCCUUCUUCUUGUGUUAAUCAUCAGUUUUUAGGUGGUUGUGUUUUAAAAUGUAGGGCAGCUUGGGUUAAGGGACUUAUCUAUGCAAUGUAUUAUGCCAGACUGAUAACUAAAGCACAACACAGCACUCACUAGAGUUAAACGUUCAAGUCAGAGAACCCUAAGUACAAUAUGAAGAGUUCUCUGACAACCAAAAUCCAGCCUCGGGAUCAACUUUUAA